UACGUAGGGCGCAAGCGUUGUCCGGAAUUAUUGGGCGUAAAGAGCUCGUAGGCGGUCUGUUACGUCCGCUGUGAAAACCCAGGGCUUAACCCUGGGCUUGCGGUCGAUACGGGCGGGCUAGAGUUCGGUAGGGGGAGACUGGAAUUCCUGGUGUAGCGGUGAAAUGCGCAGAUAUCAGGAGGAACACCGGUGGCGAAGGCGGGUCUCUGGGCCGAUACUGACGCUGAGGAGCGAAAGCGUGGGGGAGCGAACAGG
rnacentral:rRNA from 1 species